rnacentral:lncRNA from 1 species
UUUUUUUUUUUUUUUUUUUUUUUUUGGUUGGAUGGUCUCCUGUUAUUAUCUGCUUGAGUGUGUUUUUUUUUUUUCAUUUUUUGCAAAUGCAAUAUUUGGUUUUGGCUUGUGGUUGCCCUGUUUUUUAAGUAUGCUAACCCCUUCCCAUAAUUGUGUGUUUUAGCCUGAUGGUCCUGUAAGUUCAAACACUUCAUUACUAUAUUAAAAUUAAGAAGAGAAACAUACAAACAAACAAAAAGGGUUAUUUACUUCCUAACAUCCCUUGCCCACAUUUUAUGGUUUUGAUGACUCUUUUUUAUUUUUUUCUUUUUAAUUUUAUUUUGUUUGAAGCAUGUUCAUGAUUAAAUCUGUAUGCUGGCUUAUUUGAGUGACUGCUCUCUGAUUGCGGUUUCCUCAGUCCUAGUUCUUCCUCUUCUUCUUUUUUUUUUUUUUUUUUCUUUUCUUUUUUCUUCCCUUUCCUUCCUUUCUUUUUGGUUUAGAGAAGCCCUUUCAAUAUUUCCUUUAACCUGGGUUUUGUGUUGCUGUAUUCUUUAAGUUUUUGUUUGUUGGGAAAAAUUUUUAUUUCCCCUUCUAUUUUAAAUGAUAUUCUUGCUGGAUAGAGUAUUCUAGGUUGCAUAUUUUUUCCUUUGAGCACUUUAAAUAUCUCUUGCCAUUCCCUCCUGGCCUGUAGUGUUUCUGUAGAGAAAUCAGCUGAUAUUCUUAUGGGGGUUCCCUUGUAGGUAACAUUCUGUUUUUCUCUUGCUGCCUUUAGGAUCCUCUCUUUAUCACUAACUUUUGCCAUUUUUAUUAUGAUGUGUCUUGGUGUGGGUCUGUUUGGGUUCAGUUUGUUUGGGGCCCUCUGUGCUUCUUGUAUCUUGAAUCCAGUAUCCUUUAGAUUUGGGAAGUUUCCAGCGAUAAUUUCUUCAAAUAUAUUUUCCAUUCCCUUAUCUUUUUCUACUCCUUCUGGAAUUCCUAUUAUGCGUAGAUUGGCCCGCUUUAUAUUAUCCCAUAGGUCUCUUAUAUUGCUUUCCAGUUUUUUGAUUCGGUUUUCUGUCUGUUGACCAGAUUGAGUGAUUUCCAUUAUUCUAUCUUCCAUAUCACUGAUUCGUUCUUCUGCAUUAUUCAUUCUGGUUUUUACUGCCCCUAGUUCAGUUUGCAUCUCUGCAAAUGAAUGUUCUAGUUUUUCUUGGCUCCUCCUUAUAUUUUCUAGUUCCUUUCUGAGGGUAUCUGCAUUACUGUUCAUAUCUUCUCUUAAUUCCUUCAGUAUUUUCACUAUUUCUCUUUUGAACUCCAGGUCUGUCUGACUGCAGAGAUCUGUUUCAUUGUUGACUGUUUUAGGUGAGUUCUCCUGUUGGUUUGACUGGGGGUGGUUUCUCAGCUUCUUCAUCUUGCUUGUUGUUUUCUUUCUCCUGAGGGAGUUGUACUCUCCGUUAUCGGGCAGUGUUUGCCUUGUCACUGCCGUGGAAUAUUUCCUGAGGGCUGGCGUUGUUGGUCAAUCUUUUUUGAGGCAGUGUGGCUUUUCUGGAGUGUUGAUGGGGCUAACAGUGUUUCUUUGAAGCAAAGGAGGACUUCCUGAGGGCAGACAGGACUGGGAGGUCCACACCACGAUGGUAGCAGAUUUCACUUGGUCUCGACACCCCCUGGGGGCUUGGGCGCGUAGCAGGGCCACUGGAAACCCAAGAGGCUCCUCCCCAGGGCAGCCCGACUCAGAAAGACCGUCUGAGAUCUUUUCCUGGCUCGGCCAAGCUUGUUGCAGCUUUUCUGGGCUGCAGGGGGUCCUGCCUGGAGCUGGCAGUCCUAUGCAGCUGAUCCACUAGUUCUCGGCACCCCCUGGGGGCUUGGACGGGUAGCAGGGCCACUGAAAACCCAAGAGGCUCCUCUCCGGGGCAGCCUGACUCAGAAAAACCGUCCGAGAAUUAAGUAGAUCUAUCACAGCCUGGCUACGCUUGUUCUAGCUUUUCUGGGCUGCCCUUUUCUCGGGGGCUGGUGGUGUUUGGUGCUGCUCUGCGGAAGUGUAGCCCCUCCAAAGGGCAAGCAGGCCUGUGCAGGGACAAGCCCUGCAGUGGUAGGCUUCAGGCAAUUGUUGAGGCCAGCCCUCCUGGAUGGCAGGCAGCCCCAGGUCCAGGGAGAGCGUAGGGGGUGGCGGGGGUUGGGGGAGGGGAUGCACUGGGAAGCACAGCUUUCAGCUAGCUAGCGGGCCUGUAAGCUUGCUGUGGCAUGGGGAGUAUUCUAUGGGGACCCACCCCUUCUUCUCUCCCCUCCCCAGCACGGGCGCAGACCAGGCUCUUCUCCCAGGUUCCCUCUGAUGUGGCUUUCCACUUCCCUGCCCCUAGAGUAUUGCUCCCUUCCUCUGUGACAGCUUUGUUUUCUAGUCUCCCAAGCAGUCUCCGCUCCACCCCUCCCCCCCAGCCCGUUCUCGGGACUAACCUCUGGAGCCGAGGUCUCAGUGCCCAGCCCCCACCCAGGCGUCUCAAUUUUUGGUGACUGUGCCCGUAAUUCAGAUGGUCCGUUCGGUUCUUGAUUGGCUUUUCUGUACUCCAACUUACUGCUACACUCUUCUCUGCCUCUGGAGAUUCCUCCGGUUUGUUUGAUCUUUCCCCUGGUAGGUGACUUUCCAGGGUGCGGGAUCCCUUUCUCCUCCUCAGUUCUCUUUCAGGAGUGCCCCUCCCACUCGGAUUCACCUUCUCUCACUUUCCUCUCUUCUCCCUUUCUGCCCAGUAAUGUCUCGAACUUCUUGCUGUUAUUGGAGUUUAGGUUCCUCUGCCAGCGAUUGGUUGCUGUUCUGUGCGAGUCAUUUAUUCUGUAGAUGUGCUUUUUUUGUUGUGUUUGUGGGAGAGGGCGAGCUGUCCCCCUACUCCUCCACCAUCUUGUCCUCUCU